rnacentral:lncRNA from 1 species
GUAGGGCGCCCGGAGGCUGCGGCUGGACGGGGAACUGCGGGCCGUGCUGCUGGAGGCGCCUGGCCGCUGCGUGCCCUAUGCUGUCAUCGAAGGUGUGGUGCGUUCUGUCAGGGACACCCUGAGCAGCCAAUUUGUGGAGAACUGCAAGGGCGUCGUGCAGAGGCUGACACUGCAGGAGCACAAGAUGGUGUGGAACCGAACAACCCACCUCUGGUAUGU